GCUGCUUAAUACCCCUGUGGGGACCGAGGUUCGCGCUCUGCAAGGACGCUGGCAUAAUGGUCAUCAGCGAC
rnacentral:rRNA from 1 species